GAGAGCACAGUACGAUGAAAGUUGUAAGCUAUGUUCGGGGGGGAGUUAUUGUCUAUCGUUGGCCUCUAUGGUAGAACCCGUCGGGGAGGCCUGAGAGGCGGUGGUUUACCCUGU
rfam:Triticum aestivum genome assembly, contig: Triticum_aestivum_CS42_TGACv1_scaffold_430842_5BS